GCGGAGCGUCGUUUGCGACGCCCAACACACAAAACAAGCGGUGAGUGCUUUGGGGUGGGGUGACUGCGUACCUUUUGUAUAAUGGGUCAGCGACUUAUAUUCUGUAGCAAGGUUAACCGUAUAGGGGAGCCGAAGGGAAACCGAGUCUUAACUGGGCGUUAAGUUGCAGGGUAUAGACCCGAAACCCGGUGAUCUAGCCAUGGGCAGGUUGAAGGUUGGGUAACACUAACUGGAGGACCGAACCGACUAAUGUUGAAAAAUUAGCGGAUGACUUGUGGCUGGGGGUGAAAGGCCAAUCAAACCGGGAGAUAGCUGGUUCUCCCCGAAAGCUAUUUAGGUAGCGCCUCGUGAACUCAUCUUCGGGGGUAGAGCACUGUUUCGGCUAGGGGGUCAUCCCGACUUACCAACCCGAUGCAAACUGCGAAUACCGAAGAAUGUUAUCACGGGAGACACACGGCGGGUGCUAACGUCCGUCGUGAAGAGGGAAACAACCCAGACCGCCAGCUAAGGUCCCAAAGUCACAGUUAAGUGGGAAACGAUGUGGGAAGGCUCAGACAGCCAGGAUGUUGGCUUAGAAGCAGCCAUCAUUUAAAGAAAGCGUAAUAGCUCACUGGUCGAGUCGGCCUGCGCGGAAGAUGUAACGGGGCUAAACUGUGCACCGAAGCUGCGGCAGCGACGCUUAUGCGUUGUUGGGUAGGGGAGCGUUCUGUAAGCCUGCGAAGGUGUCCUGUGAGGGAUGCUGGAGGUAUCAGAAGUGCGAAUGCUGACAUAAGUAACGAUAA
rnacentral:rRNA from 1 species